CUUGUUUUUCAGAGCAUCGUGCAGCCUCAGCCAAUCUGCUGUUGGAUUAAACACAAAACCAAGCCCCAUAAAUGCUAAAGGGAAAAAAAAAAGAAGGGCAAGAGGGGCAUUAAAAUUCACAUUGUAGCCAUUUCCUACCAGACAACUGAAGUCCAAUUCCUCUAAUCUUGCAUGGAUUACAGCAAGUCAUACCCUAUUCCUUAUGUUCAACUGCUGUAUGGUGCUUCAGGUCGUGCUUUGCCUCACCAAGAGAGUAUGUGAAUUCUGAGAACCAUUUAUUUUUUAAUUUUUCCUUGAAAAACAUACUCUUACCCAGACCACAGGUAGCCACCCAUCUCCCCACCUUUUGCAAACACCCUCACGCCUCCUUUCCCGACAGCUCCAUUCCAUGCUUUGCCUCUCUCCUUUUCCAAGUGUUUUCUUAGCGCACGCACCCCAGUCUAUGAAAUUCGUCACAGCGUCACGGAAGGCUCUGGGCUGGAAGGCGCUUUAGAGAUGCCCGCGGUGCCCCGGGCAGGGGAUGCCAUUCCCUCGGUGAGGCGGCUCUGCCGGGCCGGGCCGGGCCGGGCCGGGCCGUGAGGGGCGGGAGCGCGCCCGGAGCCGCGCCCGCGCCGGGCAGCAGCUCUGCCUCUGCUCCUCUAGUGGCAGCGACGCCCCGACGGAAAGGAGGGAAAGAAAACAAACGCCUACUUCUCUUUUCUAAGUUUUUUUGUUUGUUUGUUUGGGGGUUUUUUGUUGGGUUUUUUUCCCCCCAUGUAUUAGUAGCACAUAUUAAAAAGCACAAUUUGUUUUCUGAGGACUCUCGGGAUGACCAGACAGGAGGAACGUGAGGAUAUGCACUUCUGUGGAAAGGAGGAACCGGAAGAAGCAGUCCUCCUAGCACACCUGCUUUUAAACUCGAAGGCUAAAAACCCCGUAUCAGACUCCUACUGCCCAGCCAGCAGCACGGCAAAGAAGGAAGGAAGGUGGAAAACCAUUAAAGGCCUACAAUGGGGAGAAAGAGGAGGCGGCGUGGCAUUUUUUUUCAAUGACAUCUUUGCAACCCUACUCCAAAGAAUGACCAGAAGCAUAUUUCAUGACCUCGUUUGCGAUAAUCUUGAAGCCGUUCGACCAUUCUACAUAAUCCCCAUCAUCAACAGAUACCAUCUAAAAUCUUAG
rnacentral:lncRNA from 1 species